rnacentral:lncRNA from 1 species
UAGGAUAAUAACAGAAAUUAAAAGUUGAACAUAUGCAGUUUAUUUUGUCCAAAAUAUAAUUGUUGUUUCUCUGUGUUGGGAAAGGCUGUCUCCUGCAUGCAGUCCUGUGUGUGGACUCCAUUGGACCACAGAAGAAUGAGCCUUCAACCCGAACACUUCCUUACCAACAGAUAAAGAGCCUUCACAGCAUGUGCCGGGUUUAUCGCCUGGUAUGGGAAUAUCUUUUCCUGUUUCAGACUCUGUAUACUCCUUUAAUCUGCUUAAGCUCAUAUGUCAAUGGCCCUCAGACACACCUCCAGCUUUCUGUAUUUCAGACUGCAUGGGAAGGGGGAGGGGUCCCUCUAUUGCAGCACAAAGUGGGGUGGGUGCAGCUAACUCCCCACAUAGCAUAGCUGUGAAGUGGAUCCAGUGGCCCUGAGGGACCAACACAAUGUAAGGAGCUGGACCUUGUGCACUCUUGCUCCUCUCUUGCUGCCUCCUUAUCUAACUUCUGCUCAGUCACCUCUGCAUUCUACCUGUAGAAAAGUGACUCAACAUCAUUCCAGAAGUCCGGAAUUCUACAAGAAUCAUCUUUUCUCGGAGUUGAAAGUGAUAACACACCACCACAUGGUCAAGUGAAUCAUAACCUGCUGGGGCUUGAGGUAUGGAAGACGAACAGUGGAGGAAAAGGUAUCUUCCAGCCUGGUGAAAUGCCGUGGAAAUGUGAGGCCAUUUAUUUUUUCUAAAUGCCCCAGCAACAGCUCUCAUUCACUUGCAGAAGCAAGAGCUGUUCUGACUACUCACAGUAUAUGGUGAGAUCUUUAUUUCUUUGCCUUUUUUUUUACUGUGAGUUUCCUUUUUUGUCAUCAUUGACCUUAUAAUGAAUCACUGCACUGUCUGAGUAAUGAGGCUGCAGUAGAUAAGGUCUCCUGAGAAUAUGAAGGAAGAAGUAUGUUCAGCAACUGAUUACUGACUUAUCCACCUGAUUAUAGUGACCAAUCUACUCAUAUAUCUGAUUUCAAAUGCCCAAUACAAUGUUAAUAAUCUUAUUAAAACUUCUUUGC